rnacentral:rRNA from 1 species
CCUACGGGUGGCAGCAGUGGGGAAUAUUGCACAAUGGGGGAAACCCUGAUGCAGCGACGCCGCGUGAGUGAAGAAGUAAUUCGUUAUGUAAAGCUCUAUCAGCAGGGAAGAAAAUGACGGUACCUGAGUAAGAAGCCCCGGCUAACUACGUGCCAGCAGCCGCGGUAAUACGUAGGGGGCAAGCGUUAUCCGGAUUUACUGGGUGUAAAGGGAGCGUAGACGGCAGUGCAAGUCUGGAGUGAAAGGCGGGGGCUCAACCCCCGGACUGCUCUGGAAACUGUAGUUCUUGAGUGAUGGAGAGGCAGGCGGAAUUCCGUGUGUAGCGGUGAAAUGCGUAGAUAUACGGAGGAACACCAGUGGCGAAGGCGGCCUGCUGGACAUUAACUGACGCUGAGGCGCGAAAGCGUGGGGAGCAAACAGGAUUAGAUACCCGUGUAGUC